rnacentral:rRNA from 1 species
GACGAACGCUGGCGGCGUGCUUAACACAUGCAAGUCGAACGGUAAGGCCCUUCGGGGUACACGAGUGGCGAACGGGUGAGUAACACGUGGGUGAUCUGCCCUGCACUUCGGGAUAAGCUUGGGAAACUUGAGCUAAUACCGUAUACGUCCGUGAGGAGAAAGAUUUAUCGCCCUUAGACGGGCCCGCGUCGGAUUAGCUAGUUGGUGGGGUAACGGCCUACCAAGGCGACGAUCCGUAGCUGAUCUUAGAGGAUGAUCAGCCACACUGGAACUGAGACACGGUCCAGACUCCUACGGGAGGCAGCAGUGGGGAAUUUUGGACAAUGGGGGCAACCCUGAUCCAGCCAUGCCGCGUGAGUGAAGAAGGCCUUCGGGUUGUAAAGCUCUUUCGGCCGGGAAGAAAUCGCAUAGGCUAAUACCCUGUGUGGAUAACGGUACCGGAAUAAGAAGCACCGGCUAACUACGUG